UACAGAGGGGGCAAGCGUUGUUCGGAAUUACUGGGCGUAAAGGGCGCGUAGGCGGCCUGUUAAGUCGAACGUGAAAUCCCUGGGCUCAACCCAGGAACUGCGUCCGAUACUGGGAGGCUUGAAUCCGGGAGAGGGAUGCGGAAUUCCAGGUGUAGCGGUGAAAUGCGUAGAUAUCUGGAGGAACACCGGUGGCGAAGGCGGCAUCCUGGACCGGUAUUGACGCUGAGGCGCGAAAGCCAGGGGAGCAAACGGG
rnacentral:rRNA from 1 species